CCGCUCAGUCCCAUGCACUCGGCGCGGCCCCUGCCUGCGAUGGCCGCUGCCUCGCUCUCACAUUCCCGGCGGAGCCCUGGCGGAGGGGGCCCUGAGGAGGCGGCUCGGGGGGGAGGAGGAGGAGGAGGAGGAGGAGGAGGAAGAGGAGGAGGAGGAGUGCGGGCCGAGCCGAGGGGGAGCAGCGGAGCGGCCGGGAGGUGAGAUAGCGACGGAGGCUGGCGCUGCGAGGGGCGGAACGGGGCUGGAGCGGCGGCGGCUGCCUCAGGAGAAGCGGGGGGGGUCCCGGCGGACGGCGGGGUCGCGCUCCGGCUCGCUGCUAUUGUGGCUCUCAGCGGGCUCCGGCCAUGGCACUCGCUCGCUCACAGCCUCAGCGUUGCUGCCGCCGCCCCCCGCCCGCCCACUGGAGCCGGCCGCCGGGACGCGCCGCCUCAUUGGCGCCCGCCGCCGCCGCCGGGACAGCCGGGAAAGGGGAGAGCGGCCCGACGAGGAGGAGGAGGAGGAGAAGGAGGAGAAGAAAGGGGCGGCGACGGGAGAGCGGUGGCGGAGAGCGGCACCGCCAUCGACCUCCUCGUCCCGCGGCGGGCAGGAGGGAGGCGGACGAGCGGCGGCCGCCGCCGCCAGAGCGAGGCCCGGCGGCUGAGCACCAAGACCGGAUACAGCACUACAGUCAAGGCCUCAAAAACACCAGCAUCUGCUCUGUCACGCCCAUCACAGACUAUGUUCCUGUUUACAUAUGCCAAUACAAAUACUUUUCAGACAAUGUGAUUUAUUCACAAUAUUGCUGAGCUGUUUUACCCCUGCAUCCAUUUCUGCUGACCUACCAAGCCAGUUAUUUCUACUUCAAGUAGACAGUAAUGCCACUUGAGAAUUGAUGUAUUGCAACAGUCCUAAUACUUUUCCUUCGUUUUUAUUACUGGACAGAUGGACAAUCAAGCAGUCAAGACAUCUUUUAAAAUAAAGUUCUGUGCGCCUUUAAGUCAGAAAACUGUAAACAUGUCAUCCUUGUAAAUCAAUUGCAUUCCUCAGAAGUGUAGUUGAAAGACCAAAAUUCAGCAGAGAUUGAACUGUACCAUGGUUACAGAAUGUGUAACUGAAUUUAAAGGAGAGAUAUGUAUAUAAGUAAAUUCACUUAAACCAACUUUGCUAAAAUAACCUAAAUGCGAGCAAUGGCUUGUAACAAAGAAUGUAGGUCAGUUUGGUUUUUAUACUAACAUAAGGUAAAAUUUUGCAAAAACACUAACUUCCUGUUGCUCUGAUCAAUACGGAACUAAACCUGCAGAUGCACAUAUUUGGCUUUGUUAAGUGUACUUAAUUCCAUUAGUUUUGUUUGUCAGCCUCACAUGGUAAUACUCAGAUUUAUUCACUGGCCUGUGCACUUCUUCUGGUCUGGACUGAACAGUGCACCGAGCAGCUCAUAAAAUUACUGACGGCAAACUCUGUAAAAGGGAAGUUGUAGCACAGCCUGAUGGCUAGACAGGCUUUGUAGGUGAAGUUGAGCAUGGCAUGUUAAAUGGUUGUACUUGGAUUUCAUUUCACAAUGGCAAGACCAAUCGUUGCGAAAUGCUAAAAAUCUAAAACUGAAGCACAUGGUACGGGUAUUUAUUAAGGUCCCUGUCCUAGAAGGGAUAAAACUCAAGACUGCUUGAAGAGCUCCCAGUGCAAGUUCGCUGCCCUGCACACAAGGCUUUAUACUUGUCGUUCUGUCGUUGAGGAAUAGCUAUAGAAUUAGUUCUUCGGUACAGCUGAACAGGGUGGUAAAUAAUGCAUACAGAUAGUUUGUCUUCUCUGAAAACUGCUUCAUGUGCUAUGGUUUAGUCCAUUCUGACCGUGUAAAACAUUUUUAUGAUGCUUUAUACUUGGUGAUAUUUGUAUGGUAACAACUCAAGAAAAAUACGGGGUUUAUCAGUGAAUAAAGAAAAAUC